CCUACGGGAGGCAGCAGUGGGGAAUAUUGCACAAUGGGCGAAAGCCUGAUGCAGCAACGCCGCGUGAAGGAAGACGGUUUUCGGAUUGUAAACUUCUGUUCUUAGGGAAGAAUAAUGACGGUAACUAAGGAGCAAGCCACGGCUAACUACGUGCCAGCAGCGGCGGUAAUACGUAGGUGGCAAGCGUUGCCCGGAAUUACUGGGUGUAAAGGGUGCGUAGGCGGGAAGCCAAGUCGGCUGUGAAAACUACGGGCUUAACCUGUAGACUGCAGUUGAAACUGGCUUUCUUGAGUGAGGUAGAGGUUGGCGGAAUUCCGAGUGUAGCGGUGAAAUGCGUAGAUAUUCGGAGGAACACCGGUGGCGAAGGCGGCCAACUGGGCUUUAACUGACGCUGAGGCUCGAAAGUGUGGGGAGCAAACAGGAUUAGAUACCCUUGUAGUC
rnacentral:rRNA from 1 species